rnacentral:tRNA from 1 species
GGGCGUGUAGCUUAGCCUGGUAGAGCAACCGGCUGAUAACCGGUAGGUCCUCGGUUCGAAUCCGAGCAUGCCCA